rnacentral:rRNA from 1 species
GUCUACGGCCAUGCUACCCUGAUCAAGCCCGAUCUUGUCUGAUCUCGGAAGCUAAGCAGGGUUGGGUCUGGUUAGUACCUAGAUGGGAGAAAAUCUAGAAAGACCAGGUACUGUAGGUG